rnacentral:rRNA from 1 species
GCCCUACGGGAGGCAGCAGUAGGGAAUUUUCGUCAAUGGGCGCAAGCCUGAACGAGCAAUGCCGCGUGAACGAGGAAGGUCUUCGGAUCGUAAAGUUCUGUUGAAGGGGAAAAAGAGCGGAGAGAGGAAAUGGUCUCCGAUUGAUAUUACCCUUCGAGGAAGUCACGGCUAACUACGUGCCAGCAGCCGCGGUAAUACGUAGGUGGCGAGCGUUAUCCGGAAUGAUUGGGCGUAAAGGGUGCGUAGGCGGGCUUUUAAGUCAGCGGUAAAAAUUCGGGGCUCAACCCCGUCCGGCCGUUGAAACU